AUUCGGUUUCUUCACAGUCUCCUCUCUGGAAGGGCUCUUGGCUUCCUCUCCAGACAGCAUGUGUGUGGUAAGGAAAAAGCCUGCAUGUGGAGGUCUGUGGGAGGAGGUGUGACUGCAGGAUCGGGGUAAAAGAUUUUCAUUAUGAGGGAGGGUGCGUCACCCACACUAGGAAUUCCCAGGAGGUGCAGUUUGAUUAAAUAUUUGUAUGGUCCAGGUUACCCUCAGCUACCCCGAUAGUGGGUGCUCCCCGAGGCAGUGUGUAUUUUGGGGAACAGUAAAAAAAAUCCACGCUGCUUAAUCAGAGAUAAAACAUUCAGAGACGGCAAUGAUUGGUGCAUACCUGCGUGGAGGGUCUACACUCUAAAAUAUUUGCCAGCAUAUUAUUCUCAACUUAUGAAGCAACACACCAAGGCAUUCUGGGUAGAGGGGGAGACCCAUAAAAAAGCUUGUGCCUUUAAUAAAAUGUGUACCGGCCGAGCGCGGUGGCUCACACCAGUAAUCCCAGCACUUUGGGAGGCCGAGACAGGAGGAUCUCUUGAGCCCAGAAGUUUGAGGCCAGCCUGGGCAACACGGUGAAACCCCAUCUCUACAAAAAAUACACAAAUUAGGUAGGUGUGGUGGUGCAUGCCUGUGGUCCCAGCUACUCAAGAGGCUGAGGCAGGAGGAUCACUUGAGCCGGGGAGGUCAAGGCUGCAGUGAGCUGAGGUCGCACCAUUGCACUCCAGCUGGGGUGACAGAGCAAGACACUCUGCCUCAAAAAACAAAAUAAGCAAAAAAACCACGUACUUUCAUAAAGCUGAGUUGUGUUUGCAAGGACACGUCUCCCCUAUAAGGAAGACUUGGGAGAGAAUUGAUGCUGAGAACACCAGAGCUAUCCUCAGACAGUGCACUCCUUGUUUUAAACUAAAUUCAGUAAAUAUUUUGGAGGAUUUUUGAUGUGUCAGAUACACUCACUCUUUGUCCAGGGCAACUGGGAACUGGACGAAGGGCAGGACCUGGGGUUCCUGAGUCUGCUCAGUUACUCAGGAGCAGCCCAGUACCACCCGGGCUCCAGAGAGCCUGUUCCCUCUGAGGGGACGUCGGGGGCCCUCCAGAGGAAGGCGACCUUAGAGGUGCACCUGCCAGAUAGCUCCCCAACACUGAGAUCUGACGUGCCCCCAGAUUCCCUGGGCUCAGAAAACAGGACACGCCGAGGACAUAGAAGCCUGGCACCAGGCGCAGAGCUUCCGCCACCAAGGAUGUUCCAGCAGAGACCACACAGCCGCGUGGCCUGGACUCGAAGCCAUCGAAGUUUUGAAUCUCUAAGUCCUUAUUUCUUGCCAGCCCAACUAUUAAUAAAUCAAAAGCUCCUUGGAGCGUUGGUUUUUAUUUUCUUCUCCCCUAGAACAGUG
rnacentral:lncRNA from 1 species